rnacentral:lncRNA from 1 species
GUUGGUCUUUAUGGAUGCCCAGCCGGCACACGACCGACCUUCAACGUUGAAAUAUGGUUGAAAUAAGGUCAGAUGUGUUUUGAACGUUGAAAUAAUGUUGAUAGAACGUUUAAUGUUGAACGGUUGAAAAACAGCCUGCUUAUGACAAGGCUUCAACGUUGAAAUGUGGUUGAAAAUACGUCAGUUGUUGCUUUAAUGUUGAAACAAUGUUGAAUGAUAAAUGGUUGAAAAAAGUUACAGAAAUCCUUGUACAAAUCAACGUUGACAUUUUUUUUUAUCAUGGUCUGUAUGUUGAAUUAACGUCAUGGCUUCACCCAAUAUUCAACAUGUUUGGUUACCAUGGUAUCGGAGGACUCGGCGCACGCGGCCACGCGCAGCGCUUCACUUCACUUAAUUACGAACACCUGACCUGCAGUGCAGCAGAAUUCAGAGACAUGUAACUUAACGUACUCCAGAGACGCACUAACUUGCACAGCAUUGAAUGGAAAAGGCUUUGUCCAUGUCCAGUUGAGGGCAUCAAGAACACGUAGAUAGCCUAAACCUGUGUCAGCCUGGACAGACUGCAGUUCUGCUACUCCACGCCAAGGCUUUUGUAUGGAUGUCUGACUACUACAGUGUUCUCUAAAGGUUUUCUGGAAGCUCCAUUUGAGGGCAUCAAAGACAUACUGAUGGCCUAAACCAGUGUCAGCCUAGACAGACAGACAUCUAUUGCAGUUCUGCUACACAAGACCAAACUCUCUGCGUUUGUAUGGAUGUCUGACUAGUACGGUGUUCUCUAAAGGUAUAACUGGAGCAAAACAACAGCAUCCGUUACAGUGAAAUUUGUGUUCAUAAAAGAUAGUGAUAUAUGUGUAACAGGUCCAGUACAUUUGUCAUAAAGGUUAAAUCACAGUAAGUACUGUAAAAAUAACUUGUUUGCCUCUGCCACAACAGGUCAUGGUGUGUGCUUACUGCUCGUAGUAAACACACACACUGAUCUGAUGCGGGAGAGAUAUAUGCAAAAAUAUUUGUAUUUACUGUUUUGUUUUGCCUCACUAAAGUGUUGUUGGAGCUUGGUAUGUUCACAGUUGAAAUCACUGAAGUCACAUGGAACGUUUUGACAAUGUGUUUUGUGCCUUAUCUGGACAAUGACCAUCUUGGGACCAUUGCUGUCUGUAGAGGAUGAGGAGCAUUUAAUCUAAAAUAUUUUAGUUUGUGUUCUGAAGAUUAACAGGUCUCUGGGAUGACACAAGUAAUUAAUAACAGAACCUAUAUGAACACUUAAUGUGACAUGUAAUAGUGAAAUAGUGGUCCUACAUUCACAAAUGUGAGCCAUUAUUAUAAGACCCAUGUGAACAUGCAAUUUUUAUGAUACUAAUAAUAAUGGAAUAACAAAUUGCUAUUACUGUUGUGUUUGUGAGAGAGAAUCAAACCAUAUAUUCUACACAUUUUCUUGAUGAUUUACUGAAAUAUUUGUCUACAUGUUCCACUGUCACAGGUGCUCAGUUUUGCUGCAGUAAUGCUAAACACAAUAGAUGUACUUUAUG